rnacentral:lncRNA from 1 species
UUAUCAGUUUAGUAAUUCCCUUCGUCCUUAUUAUUUAAGGAUGGGGUGUAGCACUUCCAUCCUAUAUUUAGGGGUGGGGUGUUACAAAAAGAGAGGGUGGAUGAGAGAGAGAGAGAGGAUGAGAGGAUAGGAGAGAGGGCAUGAUAUCCUCCCCUUGGUUUUGUACAUGCACAUGGAGGGGAGGAGAGGAAUAGAGAUGAGCGACAGAGAGAGAGAUGGUGAAAGAGAAGGUAGGCGA